GAUGAACGCUGGCGGCGUGCCUAAUACAUGCAAGUCGAGCGAACAGAUGAGGAGCUUGCUCCUCUGACGUUAGCGGCGGACGGGUGAGUAACACGUGGAUAACCUACCUAUAAGACUGGGAUAACUUCGGGAAACCGGAGCUAAUACCGGAUAAUAUAUUGAACCGCAUGGUUCAAUAGUGAAAGACGGUUUUGAUGUCACUAAUAGAUGGAUCCGCGCCGCAUUAGCUAGUUGGUAAGGUAACGGCUUACCAAGGCAACGAUGCGUAGCCGACCUGAGAGGGUGAUCGGCCACACUGGAACUGAGACACGGUCCAGACUCCUACGGGAGGCAGCAGUGGGGAAUCUUCCGCAAUGGGCGAAAGCCUGACGGAGCAACGCCGCGUGAGUGAUGAAGGUCUUCGGAUCGUAAAACUCUGUUAUUAGGGAAGAACAAAUGUGUAAGUAUCUAUGCACGUCUUGACGGUACCUAAUCAGAAAGCCACGGCUAACUACGUG
rnacentral:rRNA from 1 species